CUCCUAAACGUCCUGGGCUGCACGCGCACUACACUGACACAGUAAACGAGUUGAGCUCGAUUUGAGUCCUACCUAGAAGUGGGUGGGAAAUCUGAGAAACCUGUGUCGUGAUGGGGAUAGAUGAUUGCAACUAUUUGCCUUGAACGAGGAAUGCCUAGUAGAGCUGUCUCAUCAGGGCAGCUUGAUUAUGUCCCUGCCAUUUGUACACACCGCCCGUCGUUGCUACCGAUUGGCUCACGAAUAGAGACCCUAGGAGAUGCUGGUUGUUAGGCUUGCCUUCAAUCGGCGUCGAAUUAGGUCAAUAUUCUUGUGCUAGAGGAAGCAAAAGUCGUAACA
rnacentral:rRNA from 1 species